AGUGGAAUAACUGGGUUAAAUGGUGGUUCCAUUCCAAGUUUUCUGAGGAAUCUCCAUACUGCUUUCCAUUAAGGUUGUACCAAUUUGUAAUCCCACCAGCAAU
rnacentral:pre_miRNA from 1 species